ensembl:rRNA 5S_rRNA 5S ribosomal RNA
GCUUACGGCCACACCGCCUGGUUCACGCUUGAUCUCGGAAGCUAAGAUAGGUUGGGCCUGGUUAGUACUUGGACGGAGACGGCCUGGGAAUACCAGGUGCUGUAAGCU